UGGACAGAUUACUGUAUUCGACUGUAUUCACAGCGUGAAACAGGGGAUUACACUAUUUUAAAACGGAAAGUGUAUCAAUUAACAUAAUAGACUACU
rnacentral:pre_miRNA from 1 species